CUUCUCACAUCUUACCUGCCUCCUCCCUUGUUGAGACAUCGUUUGAAGACUCAUACAACUGUGAUUCACCAACUGGACAAGGCUUUGGCAAAGCUGGGGAUUGGCCAGCUGACUGCUCAGGAAGUAAAAUCGAUAGGUGUCGAACUUGGCUGGGAGAAUGGCUGCAGAUUUCCUGCAGCCUGAAAGAAGCUGAGCUGUCUCUCUUGCUGCACAACGUGGUCCUGCUCUCCACCAACUACCUUGGGACAAGGCGCUGAAUGAACCGUGGAGCGGAUGGCAUUGUCCUGCAGUUGCAUAAUAUAGCAGUGCAGGAACAGACAGCACUUGCCAGCAAAGUCUGUGUGUACUGUUAAGUGUGUGGGAGGCGGAGAGAGGAGCAGGGGCCAUGGGCUUCACAGCAUGGCACACAUGUGGGAACUGCAGACAUUCCCCUCACAGCUAGAACUGAAACAAACCCUCUUGCCAGGGGUGGCCC
rnacentral:sRNA from 1 species